UAUUACCAGAUUUACCGCAGUGUC
rnacentral:siRNA from 1 species